GCUGUCUUGUGCUAUGCUGUGCUGUAAUAAAUUUAUGCUUGUUGGUACUACUGUGUGGUAUGUGGGAGGUACUUCACUGCACAUAGUUGCUGCAGUGCUAAUAGUUGGCAGCACAGAAGGCAGUACAAAGAGUCCGACUGGAGGCACUUGCAGUUGCAGCGUUUCCUUGGAGGCUGUGGCAUGCUCAGUGAGCUGCAGGGGCACUCCUGGCACCUUCAGCCACUUGUGUGGAGAAGUGGGAGUUCCAGCAGGCUUUAACAAGCAGAUGCAGGCUACUAGCAGAGAUGUACGACAGCAUAGCUCAGGCUGGCUAAAAAAUAGUACUCAUGCUGUUAUGUAAACAAAACAAGAUCUUAGUAUCAAGAUGGCCGACCUGGAAGUCUACUUGUAGCUUGUGAUACUUAUGCAAAUGAGCUACAUGUCAGUGGCUUACUCACAGGAGGAAGCUCAUUUUGCACGUGACACCUUCUCACCAGGGUCAAGAUGGAUAACACAGAUGAGCGUCAGAAAAAAGUCUUUAAAGCACGAAAAACAAUGAGAGUAAGUGAUCGACAACAACUUGAAGCUGUCUAUAAGGUUAAAGAGGAGCUGUUGAAGACAACUGAAGUUAAACUGUUAAAUGGAAAGCAUGAGAAUGGAGAUUCUGAUUUAAAUUCCCCUUUAAGCAAUACAGACUGUAUGGAGGACAAGAGGGAAGUUAAUGGCAUAGUGGACUUAUGUGUUAAUUCUGAAGAAGGAAAAACAGCUUCUGAUGAAACUAGCGAAGCCAAAAGCCCUGAAAGUAGGGCAGGCAAUGUAGUCAGUGGCAUACAACCCAAACCUCUAGCACAGUCUCCAGAGAAUGUUACUCCUGAGCAAGGUAAAGAUACUGACACUGCUUUAGCUUGUGAGGCUGAAAAUGGAGUUCUUGGUAGCAAUAAAGAUGACUUCCAUGAAAAAAAUAAUACAAAAGAUCAUUUGGACCAAAGAGAGAGCGAUAUCCCAUUGGAAGGUGAAAGUAAAUCAGUCUGUGGUAUUAGUGACUCUUUGGAAAAUAAGGUAGAAACACAUGACUUAAGUAUUACUUCCAAUUCAUCUAGUGAGGAAAAGAGCACUGAAGAAGUAACUGUUGAAGAUGCUGUUGGAGAAGAAGCCAUCUCUAGCAGUAUGGAAGCUGACCAGGAAGCAAAGGACGCACAAGACGGCGCUACAGGUCUUCCAGAAACGACUGUUCAGAAAACAGCAGAUGAGCCAAGUGACAGUAUCUUGGACAAUACUGACUCUAUGGAAACAGAUGAAAUUAUUCCAAUUUUGGAAAAACUAGCCCCUGCUGAAGACGAACUGGGCUGUUUUUCUAAAAGUCCUCUGCUUCCAGCGGAUGAUGCAGUCACAGAUUUAGAAGAGAAAAUAGACAGCUGCUUAGGUUCACCAUCCAAGCAGGAAAGCAGUGAAAGUCUGCCAAAAGAGGCUUUCUUAGUAUUGUCUGAUGAAGAGGAUCCCUGUGAUGAGAAGGAGGAAUGUGCUGAAGCGAUACUACCAAAUAAGUCAAGUCUUCCAGAAGAGGUGGAAAAGGAGACAGGAAAGGAAAGUAAGGAAGAUAAAGAAGAGGAGGCCCACAAAGAAGAGGAGAAACACACUGAGAGAAGUGAAGUGUCAAGGAGAAAGCGUUCCAGAUCUGAGGACAUGGAUAGCAUUCAUUCUAAACGUCGUCGAUAUAUGACAGAAGAUUAUGAAGCAGAACUCCAAGUAAAAAUUACAGCCAGACAGGAUGUUGACCAAAAAUUACAAAAGGUUAUCCAGAGACUAUUAGAUGAAAAAUUUACUGCUUUACAGUGUGCUGUGUUUGACAAGACUCUGGCGGACCUGAAAACACGAAUAGAGAAAGUAGAAUGUAGCAAAAGGCAUAAAACGGUGCUUACUGAACUACAGGCUAAAAUUGCUAGAUUGACAAAGCGGUUUGGAGCAGCCAGGGAGGACUUGAAGAAAAGACAGGAAACUUCACCAAAUACACCUGUGUCUUCAGCAAAAACAGCAAGUGACACUGCAAACACAACCAAUGUGAUAUAUCGAAAUGCCAACACAGUGAGGCAGAUGCUGGAGACAAAGAGGAAUAUAGGAGAGAGCACACCAGCAACUUUUCAAGCCCCUGUGAAUGCAGUGCCAGCUUCCAGUCUUGCUGCUCCUCCAGCACUUGUCAGUGGACAUCCUAAGCCUCCAGUGACCUCUACCAGCAAUUUGACAACAACAGUUCUUCCCACAGCUAACACAGCUGCUGUUGUAGGCACCAACCAAGUGCCCAGUGGCAGCACUCAGUCAGUGUCUGUCUCGUUGCAGUCUUUGCCUGUAAUCUUGCAUGUACCUGUGGCGGUAUCAUCCCAGCCUCAGCUCCUGCAAGGCCACACAGGAACUUUGGUCACUAACCAGCAGUCAGGCAAUGUUGAGUUUAUAUCCGUACAAAGCUCUUCUACAGUUGGUAGCCUUACCAAAACUACAGUGUCUUUGGCAUCAACUAACCCAACUAAACCAAAUAACAGCCCAUCUAUGCCCAGUCCUAGUAUUCAAAGGAACUCUCCAGCCAGUGCUGGGUCAAUAGGCACAACAUUGGCAGUACAGGCUGUUUCUACUGCACAUCCUGUUGCCCAGGCCCCAAGGACUUUGCCCACAGUGGGUACUUCAGGACUUCAUAAUGCUACCAGCAGUCGAGCUCCCCUACAGAUGAAGAUUCCCCUUUCUGCAUUUAGUAGUACAGCUCCUGCUGAACCACCUGCCGUUACAGCGCCCAGAGUUGAAAACCAGACAAGCAGGCCACCAACAGAUACUUCGGCAAACAAGCGAACUGCUGAGGGAACACCACAGCUCUCAGAUCAAAAAGUAGUUCGCUGUAUGCCGUAUACUUGUGGCAUAUUUGAUGGUACAACUUUGAUCAAUUGUUUCGAAAAGCAGUUGAAACAGGAGGAGACUUCAUCAGAAAAUAAAGAAGCACAGACGAAUUUUAACUUCCCCGAGGAUGUCCUCUUUGGCUUGGAGGAAGAGGAAGAGGAUGCUAAGAGCAUAAAAAACACCCACAAGCAGACUGGCUGGGCAGCUAACCUAUUAAAACAAUGGCUGGCCAAAAAUGGCAAGGAUCCUAGCUUUGAAUUGGUCCCAGUAAAUGAACUCAAUGAUAUCUUAAGAGAGUUUUAUUACACAAUAAGAAAUCAUGAUGGAAAUACCUACAGUGUGGCAAGCUACAAGUCAAUGCGUGCCGGUUUAAACCGGCAUCUCAAAAUGCCACCUUACAAUCGUCAGAUUUGCUUAAUGAAGGACAAAGAGUUUGCUAGUGCAAACAUGGUAUUUGUGAGUGUGCUGAAGAUGCUGCGCAUGCAGGGAAAGGAUGAGACUCACCACCAUCCUCCUAUAGCUGCAGAGGACUUGCGUAAGAUUAAAGAAUCUGGUGUGCUGGGAUUGCACAGUCCACUGGCACUCGUCAACAAGGUGUGGUUUGAUUUGCAGUUGCAUUUUGCCAAACGAGGGAGGGAAAUUUUAAGAGAUCUGGCUCCAGAUGCUUUUGUUGUUGAGAAGGACAAGAAUGGGCGUCGAUAUGCUAUGUUCAGGUAUCCCAGCAAAGGAAAAAAUGGAGAAGAUCCUCAUAAAAUGGGUAAAAUGUAUGAUAUGCCAGGGGACCCAAACUGUCCUGUUUUUUCAUUGGAGCUUUAUUUGUCUAAGUUGCCUCCAGAGCCCCCUGCCUUUUACCUGCAUCCUUUAAAGUUAACAUCAGAGCAAAUGCAAGAACAGCCUGUCUGGUACAAAAGAGAACCAAUGGGUGUGAAUUACUUAGGUACCAUGAUGCCCAGGAUAAGUGUGGCAGCCAGGCUUUCUCAGCGAUACACCAAUCAUUCUCUCCGAACUACCACCAUCCAGCUACUGUGUGAAGCAGGACUGGGGCCUAGAGAAAUAAUGGCAGUGACAGGCCAUCGCUCUGAAUCUGCUAUUAGACACUACUGGGGAGCUGCGGAAGUUCGCUACAGGGCUUGGUCAGAUGUGAUGGAGAAUAAUGCCCCCAGUUACCUUUAUGGUAAGAUCCCAAAUGAAGUGAUAAAAGAGCCACUAUCUGGUGCAUCCACCUCUUCUAUAAACCAUGUUGUUCUAGAACAAAGCAAAAUUCUAUUUCCUAAGAAAUCUGUGGUGCCACCUGGUGCUACCUCUGUGACUUUAGUCCCAGAGGGCCACCCUGCUCUGAAUUCCAAAAGCCCCAUACUGUUGAACCACAGUUCUUCCAAAGUGUUUCUCUCCAAGAACACGGCCAGUGUGAACCUAACUGCUAGUCCCCUUCAAGGCUGUUGUAACAAACCUGUCUUUAUAAAGGGUGUGAUAAAACAAGAACCAAUGACUUGAUACUCCUGUAAUGGAACUGAUUUCAAGUGAAUUGCUGAAAUUGAAGAAUUAUUGGAUAUGGUUUUUCACUUGAUCUACUAAGGAAAUUUCUUACAGUCUAGUUCAGCAAGAAGUAUCCUGUUCGCACUCCUGAAGUGAGCUAUGGAACAGAAACUUAAACAGAGCAGGGCUUGGAGUUUGUAUGACUUUGUGGCAGCUGGGACUCGUAAGUGGCUAGGCAGAGUUAUUUAAAAAGAAAAAAAAAUGAGAUACUUAUUUCCACUUAGCUGAAGAGUAGUGCUUUCUUCACUAAGUGCAUGGCUUUUAUAUUUUGUGAAGAGUGUAUUUAUUACACACUUUUGUGUCUGCUGGCACUAAUGUAGCAUCUUACAAAUCAAAUACUUGAUUACUGAAGAAUACAGAGAAAGUAGAAGCCGAAUGAAAUGGAGAUACACUACAAAUACAUACAUAUGCAUGAAACCACCUCAAAUUGCUUGGCCACUGUCAAUCUCUCUGUUCAAAUUGUUAUUGGACCUACCAGAGGAUUGUGCUGCUUUUUUUUUUUUUUUUUUUUUAAUUCUUCUGAAUUGUUUUUUUUUCUGUGAGCUACGUAUUUGUAUUGAAGGUCUUUCUUUUCUUCUCAUACUUAAUAUUUCUGGCUAAGAUUGUGGUCAUUCUGUCCUCCAAAGACAGUACUUGAUACAAAUUGUAUCAAAAUUGGGAUCACUUCAGUUGUGCAUGAACUGGGGAAAAUGCUCACAAAAGAGCUGAGGACAGGCUUGUUCCUUAAAUGGCAAGUAAUGAGAGUUGAAGUGUUGUCUCUGUAUGUGCUUAUCUUGUGAGAGGUUUUUUGUAUUUCCUCUCACCCCUUGCAUUACAUUUCAUAUUGUCUUUGCAGUAUAGUCAGUAUAGUUUUUGUCAGUAUAGUAUAUAAUUAACAAAAAGCACAUCCUAUUCUUCUCCACCAAACCCUACCCAAAUAUUGUUGUUUUAACUUCUUUAGAUUAGAUCACUAUAAUAAAGUGAUACCAUUAAUAAAUUUUCCAUAGGUGAUUUUUACAGGUUAGAAAUUCUCAGGAUAGUGGACAUGAAUUUUGUCAGAGAAUUGGAAUUGUACUUUAAAAGGCUCUUUCAUGAAAGAUGAAAAUUAAAAACUAGGAGGGCUGGUCAUUGUUCAUUCUUAGUGAAUCACACUUGAGAAUCUAAUUCAUGGUUUGUCUCUACUAUUCUGUGCCCCUGCCUUUGCAGGGAGAUUGGACUAGAUGACCUUUGAAGGUCCCUUCCAACCCAAACUAUACCAUGAUUCUGUGCUAUUAUUUUGUUAGAGAUUCUGAUGAAUCAAGAGAUCUUUGAAAUGGAAAACCGGUUAUCAAAUCACAAAUUAUAUUAGGUCCACUUUGGAAGAAGACACAGUGUAGCAUUUAAAACUGUUUUCCAUUAACUAAAUGGAAUAAGAAUGGUUUUAUUCUUUUGAAAUUCUGUAUAUGUGUGUGUACACAAACACACCCACACUCAUAUCUUGUGACAGUAAAGACUUUACUGGAAGUGUCUUCAUUGCUCAGAGGUGGACAUAGGAGAGAAAAAUCCCAGCUGAAAUAUAAAAAUGAUAAGUUCUUAAUUCUUUGGAGAACUUCUUUACUGGGAAAGAGUUUCAAAUAUUGAACAAGAUUUAUUGCUUUGUUAUAGCCUGAACAGAGGACUUGAUGCCCGACCUUUGGAACCAGCACAGAGUGUUCCAUUUUUCUGAUGGAUCGUGUUAAAGGUUAAAAGGUUUUGAAAGUGCCAUAUAUUCAUCUCACAUACUGUGUUCACAACCACUUUAUUUGGUGGUCUUACAGUGAUUGAGCUGGUUGAUGAGAUAUAAUUGUUAAUAUAAAAAAUAAUUCUGCACAGUCCUACACGUCCUUAGUUGCAGCAUUAACUUACGACAUCAGUGAUGAGAGGAAAGAAAUCGUGGAUCCAGGAUUAUCAUUUUCUUAAGUCUGGAGUAAAUCAGAUUAAAAUAAUAAAGUAAUCAUUUAUAAUGGCUAGGAAGAAGAAAAAGAAGAAACAGUUCUCAAACUACAAGAGAACUGUGCAAACUUACUCUAUUCUUAUUUUUAUUAGAGCAACACAGAUUUUCAAAUCUUAGGGAUUCAUAGCAUUUGUAAUUCAGCCAGACUGGCAAAUUUAUUGUUUGAAGAGAUCUAGUCUAAAUUUUCACCAUGAUGGGUAUGUCUUAUUUAAAAACAAAAAUUUUAAAAAAUCCUGUUUUUGACUGGGGUAGUUGCUUGUUCCAGCCUACUGUGGUGAAAAUUUAUCCAGAAAAACAAGAGAAGUAUGUUGUAAGGAGAUGAUUCUUUUUUUGUUCCCUCUUGCUGCAUACUGUGGUCAUACUGACCACAUGCCCUGCUCUGGUCCUAACUGCAUCUAGGUAACUUACUGUAACAGCAUAUUGUUUCAUAUUUUCACACAAAUCUAGUUGGUAAUUUAAAUUGAAAAAGGGACUCUUUUGGCCAAUCUGGACAUGUCUCUGAUUCUGUUCAAUUAUCAUUUGGCUUCUAAUGUUAACUUCACUCUGUAGCUCAUAAUUGGGUAUUUCUGGUUUCUUACUGUUAAAUUGUAAUUCUGUUGGCACCAACUAUACAAUGUCCUCUCAGUACCUUCAGUUUGAACCUGAUACUUCAAAGCUACUAGAUGCAGUAUUACUAGCUUUUUAUUUUUGUAUGGGAGAGCAUUCCUAGUCUGGGCUGAAAGUGUUGCUUCACAAGAGCUGGGGUCAGUAUUAACUAAAUUUUCUGUUAAUAUUUGAAUUAAUUCUAACCUUCCCCAACUGAAAUUUUUUUCUCCUGUUCCCCUUCCUACCCAAAGUGUUAAAUGAAUCUUUCCUACGUGUUUUUGCUUUCUAGAAAAACUGAAGUAGGCAAACAGGGUGAUGUUUUCCUGCUUUUGCAACUUUGGCUGUGUGUACGGUAAUAUGGGAGCACAGUGUCUUCUUCCCCCCCCCCCCCUUUUUUUUUUAAAAUUGUGAGAUAACAUUUCAGUUUAAUCCUGUUCAUUGCAGUACAGUUUAUGCUGUGUGGACAUCAUGGAUUUGAAUUGCACUCCUCAGUACAGUAUCAGCAGUGAACCUCAAACAGCAAGAUUUCUGUUUUUUAAAAACAGAUUAAGAACAGUUUGUCUAAACUUAAAUUUAGACUUUGGCUGUAAACUUAAUACAAAAUUGUUAAUAAUAAUUUGAAAUUAACUUUAAAAAUCCGAGUAUAACAUAUACAGUUUGAAAGAAAUUUAUCAGCUGUCACUCUCGAAUUUUAUAAUUAGAUCUUUUCAUAAAAAUAGGAGUAUUUCAACUGGGGAAAAAAAAAAAAAACAGCACUUAGCCUUAACUAAGGCAACUAAACUAAUUUUUUAAAUAAUCGCUGCCAUGUCAUUGAUUAAGUUCCAUUUACAUUGAUGGAGAUGACUGUGAAAACAGUAGAGAAUGACUGGAAGUUUAUAUAAUAUAACCAUAUAUUUAGGUUUGCAUCUCCUUUUCAUAAUGAAGCUUUGGUCCUGGUUCUGUGAAUCUAGAACUUGUGUUUUCUGUGCUUUUUCCUGUUAAAUUUGAAAUCUCUGCUGUUACUUCAAGGAGUACCCUAAUUACUUUCUAUUUUUAUGAAGUUGGCACAGUACCUUACAUUACAUCUUACAGUAUGUUAAUUUUUGUAUUGUUUUACUGCUAUUUAAGUAAUUAAUCCCCACUGUAAGGUACUGUGAUCGGCAGCAUGGGAGAUCUAGAAGGUAAAUGUUAUUCACUCUAUGCACCUUCUCUGUGUCCCCAGAAGAGCUCUGUUGUGCACAGUGUCAAGUACCUGGUGGUAUUGGAAGGAUGCUUUGAAAUUGAACGUGUUCUUGGCUUUGUUGUGGUUUUAGUCUGGUGCAUCUCUUUGGUUAUCCUGAACUAUAUAGCUUCUCAAUAGUUGCAUACUGUUUAGGUCAGAAAGUUUUCAGUAAGCAGCUUGGGCAUAUGAUUUUGCUGUAUGACUGCUUCUCUUUUUUCAGCCUUCCUCUCUUUCUUGUUUCAAAAGGAAUGCCCACAGGGAUAUGGGAGGGGGCAUCUUACUGUGUUUGUCUCUCAACUGAAGCUUUUUCUUGUGUACACAGAAACUAAAGGGUUGUUACUCAGUCCUGGUAAUUUUACCAAUGGCCAUUCCAGUGCCUCAGAUCCUAGAAUUGCAUUUCUGAAAACAUGACAAGCACUUUUAAUGUUUUGGCGUGAAUGUUAUUGUUACAGAGGCAAAGGCAUUUUUAAUUAUAUACCAGAUCUUCAGAGUGGUUUCAAAGUAUUUUAUUAUGAAUCCCAGUUAUAGAUACAGGAUUUAUAUAUAUUAUAUAUAAUAUAUAAAUAUAGGUAUGGUGUACUGAGAGAAUUUAUAAAAGGAGCUUUUAUUAUGUUGUGACAUAAAAUAACAGUGAACAAAUUUGAAUGUGGUUGGAUGUGUUAAAAAUGGCUGGCAUAAAGUCAGUCUGUUCAAGAUUGAUUAUGUUAUAUUUAUUAAAAUACCAGGUCAGGUGAAUAAUCAUUUCUUCCCUGCUCCAGGUGCACCUUAUCCUCUUACGGAGCAAAUCUUUCAGUGUAAAUUUCAUCUUUUCAGUUUAUAUUAGUUUAACAAAACACAUCAGUGUCCUAUCCAUUUCCCAUUGUUUCUGAGAUACCUUGAUUUGUUUGAUUGAACUACAGUCUAAUUUAAGCUUUUCCACUGACUAUUGGAAACUCAUCUGGUAAAUGUUAAUAAAGUACAUUUAUAACUCCUAUCCCUUUACUUUGCAAUGUGUAACAAACUUUGUGAAUGUCAGUUGGGAAAAAAUAUGAACAAAGUGGGUAUGUCAGCUUACAAUUUAUAAGCAGCUAUUUAUUCUAUAUUGUUGAAGCAUUACUGAUUAAUAUGUUUCUUGCAUUUCAUGGUUUUUGUCACUGAAAAUAAACAUACAUAAUUAUAUAUGUAAAA